rnacentral:lncRNA from 1 species
GCAAACAGAAGAAUGACUUUCAGCUUUUAUUGGAAAGUUGCACACAAGACUGAUCGCCAUUGAACACACUGUACACAACAUUGAAUAAUGGCAUUCACACUUUCGAAUUUGUCAUGUCUAAUGCUUUUUCUCAGGUAAUAAAAGGACCAUAAAGCUCUGAUGUAUGAGCUGCUCGGACACUGAGAUAUUUUAAGAUUAUUCAACAAGGAAACAGCAGUGAACUAGGCUCCAACACCUUGUGAAGUUUAAUGAAUCUAUUCAACUAGUGUCAGCCACAUCAAUAAAUAAUUUAAUAAGAAACCAUCAUCUAUGAAGGAGAAUGCAGUUCAAACAAUGAUAGAGGAACUGACCAGACCAAGAUCAACAUUAUGAGGGAGACAAUGUAAAACAGAC